GAUUAAGUUUAAAUUUAUUUUAUUUAUUUUUAUAUUUUUUAUUUAAAAUAAUUUUUUUUUUUAAUAUUUUAUAAAGAAAAAAUAAAAUUUUAUAUAGUUUAUUAAUAUAGUAAUAAAAAUUUAUUUUUAUUUUAUAAGUAUAAUUUAAUUUAGUACCUUUUGUAUCAGGGUUUAUUAAAAUAAAUUAAUUAAUUUAAUUUUCUCGAUUUUAUAAGAGAUAAAUUUAUAUAAUAGUUUUUGUUUCAUAACAAUUAUAAAUAUAAAUUUUGUUGUAAAAAGUUAAUCGAUUAUAAAUAUAUCUAGUUUUAAAAGAAAUAAAUUUAAUUUAAUAUAUUUGUUUUAAUUAAAAUAUUAUAAUUUUAAUUAUAUAAAUAUUUAAAUAUUAUUAGGGAUAAGCUAAAUAAUAAUUUUAUAAUAUAAAUUUAUUAAAUAAAUGUAGAAUUAGAAAUUUUUAACAUUAAAAAAUUUGUUAUAAUUUAUAUUUUUAUAAAAAGAAUUUUUUAUUAUUUAAUUGAGUUAUUUUAAUAUUGUUUGUAAUUAAUAUAAAUUAGAAAUUAUGAUAAAAUUAGUAUUAUUUAAUAAAUAUUAUAUAAUUAUUUUUAGAUUAUAUAAAGUAACUCGGCAAAUUUUAUUUUUACCUGUUUAUCAAAAACAUGUCUUUUUGAAAAUAAUUUAAAGUCUGACCUGCCCACUGAAUUUAUUUAAAGGGCCGCAGUAUAUUGACUGUGCUAAGGUAGCAUAAUCACUUGUUUUUUAAUUGAAAACUAGAAUGAAUGGUUUGAUAAAAAAUAAACUGUCUCUGUAUAAAAAUUAUAAAAAUUUAAAUUUUUAGUUAAAAUGCUAAAAUUAUAAUAAAAGACGAGAAGACCCUAUAGAUCUUUAUAAUUUAGUUAAUUAAUAUUUUUUAUUUUUAUAAAUAUCUUAAUUAAUUUGAUUAUUUAAUUGGGGUGAUUAAAAAAUUAAAUAAACUUUUUUAUUUGUUUAAUAUUAGUUAAUAAAUAAUUGAUCCUUUAUUAAGAUUAUUAGAUUAAGUUACCUUAGGGAUAACAGCGUAAUUUUUUUGGGGAGUUCAUAUCUAUAAAAAAGAUUGCGACCUCGAUGUUGAAUUAAAGUUAGUUUUAGGAGUAGAAAUUUAAAAUUUUAGUCUGUUCGACUAUUUAACUUUACAUGAUUUGAGUUCAGACCGGCGUAAGCCAGGUUAGUUUCUAUCUUUAUUUUAUUAUAAUUUUUUAGUACGAAAGGACCAAAUAUUAUAAAAAUUUUAUUUAAAAUGAAUAUUAUUAAUUUAUAAA
rnacentral:rRNA from 1 species